UACAGAGGGGGCAAGCGUUAUUCGGAAUUAUUGGGCGUAAAGGGCGCGUAGGCGGCUUGGCAAGUGGAAGGUGAAAUCCCUCGGCUCAACUGAGGAACUGCCUUCCAGACUGCUUUGCUUGAGUCCGGGAGAGGUGAGUGGAAUUCCCAGUGUAGCGGUGAAAUGCGUAGAUAUUGGGAGGAACACCAGUGGCGAAGGCGGCUCACUGGACCGGAACUGACGCUGAGGCGCGAAAGCGUGGGGAGCAAACGGG
rnacentral:rRNA from 1 species